UUUAUGGAGAGUUUGAUCCUGGCUCAGGACGAACGCUGGCGGCGUGCCUAAUACAUGCAAGUCGAGCGAACAGAAAAGGAGCUUGCUCCUUUGACGUUAGCGGCGGACGGGUGAGUAACACGUGGGCAACCUACCUUAUAGUUUGGGAUAACUCCGGGAAACCGGGGCUAAUACCGAAUAAUCUAUUUUACUUCAUGGUGAAAUACUGAAAGACGGUUUCGGCUGUCGCUAUAAGAUGGGCCCGCGGCGCAGUAGCUAGUUGGUGAGGUAACGGCUCACCAAGGCGACGAUGCGUAGCCGACCUGAGAGGGUGAUCGGCCACACUGGGACUGAGACACGGCCCAGACUCCUACGGGAGGCAGCAGUAGGGAAUCUUCCACAAUGGGCGAAAGCCUGAUGGAGCAACGCCGCGUGAGUGAAGAAGGUUUUCGGAUCGUAAAACUCUGUUGUA
rnacentral:rRNA from 1 species